rnacentral:rRNA from 1 species
GAUGAACGCUAGCUACAGGCUUAACACAUGCAAGUCGCGGGGCAGCAUGGGGGUUGCUUGCAAUCCCCGAUGGCGACCGGCGCACGGGUGAGUAACGCGUAUCCAACCUGCCCUUCACCACGGGAUAACCCGGCGAAAGUCGGACUAAUACCGUAUGUUGUCCAUUGACGGCAUCCGAUUUGGACGAAAGGUUUGGCGGUGAAGGAUGGGGAUGCGUCCGAUUAGCUGGACGGCGGGGUGACGGCCCACCGUGGCGACGAUCGGUAGGGGUUCUGAGAGGAAGGUCCCCCACACUGGAACUGAGACACGGUCCAGACUCCUACGGGAGGCGGCAGUGAGGAAUAUUGGUCAAUGGGCGUAAGCCUGAACCAGCCAAGUAGCGUGCAGGAUGACGGCCCUAUGGGUUGUAAACUGCUUUUAUGCGGGGAUAAAGUGGCCCACGUGUGGGUUUUUGCAGGUACCGCAUGAAUAAGGACCGGCUAAUUCCGUG